rnacentral:rRNA from 1 species
AUUGAACGCUGGCGGCAGGCCUAACACAUGCAAGUCGAACGAGUGGCGGACGGGUGAGUAAUGUCUGGGAAACUGCCUGAUGGAGGGGGAUACCUACUGGAAACGGUAGCUAAUACCGCAUACCAUCAGAUGUGCCCAGAUGGGAUUAGAUAGUAGGUGGGGUAACGGCUCACCUAGGCGACGAUCCCUAGCUGGUCUGAGAGGAUGACCAUCCACACUGGAACUGAGACACGUGCCAGACUCCUACGUGAGGCAGCAGUGAGGAAGAUUGCACAAUGGGCGCAAGCCUGAUGCAGCCAUGCCGCGUGUAUGAAGAAGGCCUUCGGGUUGUAAAGUACUUUCAGCGGGGAUGCGUUACCCGCAGAAGAAGCACCGGCUAACUCCGUGCCAGCAGCCGCGGUAAUUC